AUACGUAGGUGGCAAGCGUUGUCCGGAAUUAUUGGGCGUAAAGCGCGCGCAGGCGGUCCUUUAAGUCUGAUGUGAAAGCCCACGGCUCAACCGUGGGGGGUCAUUGGAAACUGGGGGACUUGAGUGCAGAAGAGGAAAGUGGAAUUCCAAGUGUAGCGGUGAAAUGCGUAGAGAUUUGGAGGAACACCAGUGGCGAAGGCGACUUUCUGGUCUGUAACUGACGCUGAGGCGCGAAAGCGUGGGGAGCAAACAGGAUUAGAUACCCUGGUAGUCCACGCCGUAAACGAUGAGUGCUAAGUGUUAGGGGGUUUCCGCCCCUUAGUGCUGCAGCUAACGCAUUAAGCACUCCGCCUGGGGAGUACGGUCGCAAGACUGAAACUCAAAGGAAUUGACGGGG
rnacentral:rRNA from 1 species